CUUAAUACUGCCUUGUAUUGUGACUGUCUUUUCAAAAACAGAGAGAUGUGUCCCAAAGACCUUGUUAAAACACCAAAGGUGUUGAAUCUACUAUUCCUUUUGACCAGGCACGGUGGAAAUUUCCAUUUACCAGCUGAAGUAUUACCACCAUGAGGAGAGGUUCUGGUCUUGCCUGGUCUCUCUCCAGAGAGACGAAAAGAGAAGAGCUGGUUCAGAAGAAACCUCAGUGCAACGGCUCAGACUAUUUCCAUAUCAACAAAAGACAACAUUUAUAAUUACUGAAAGCUUGUCAAAGAGUUUUCUCAAACAUUGUUCCAUUGUGUCUUCACAGCACUGAAGAUCCUUAUCCAACUUGCUAGUGAUGAGAAAGCUGAAGCACUACUUUCCUAAAUUCACUCUUUUCUUCAGAAGACUUGGAAUUAAACCUGAAAGUCCUAA
rnacentral:lncRNA from 1 species